GUGGGGAAUAUUCCGCAAUGGACGAAAGUCUGACGGAGCAACGCCGCGUGAGUGAUGAAGGUUUUCGGACUGUAAAGCUCUGUUGUUUAGGACGAAAGUGCCUGUUGCAAAUAGUUACAGGUAUUGACGGUACUGAACGAGGAAGCCACGGCUAACUACGUGCCAGCAGCCGCGGUAAUACGUAGGUGGCAAGCGUUGUCCGGAAUUAUUGGGCGUAAAGAGCAUGUAGGCGGGAAUCUAAGUCUGUUGUGAAAAUGCGGAGCUCAACCCCGUAUUGCGAUGGAAACUGGGUUUCUUGAGUGCAGGAGAGGAAAGGGGAAUUCCCAGUGUAGCGGUGAAAUGCGUAGAUAUUGGGAGGAACACCAGUGGCGAAGGCGCCUUUCUGGACUGUGUCUGACGCUGAGAUGCGAAAGCCAGGGUAGCGAACGGGAUUAGAAACCCGUGUAGUCC
rnacentral:rRNA from 1 species